UACGUAGGAGGCGAGCGUUGUCCGGAAUCACUGGGCGUAAAGCGCGUGUAGGCGGGAAGGCAAGUCUGCUGUGAAAGCGCCUGGCUUAACCGGGCGAGGUCGGCGGAAACUGCUUACCUGGAGGACGGUAGAGGGGGGUGGAAUUCCACGUGUAGCGGUGAAAUGCGUAGAGAUGUGGAGGAACACCAGUGGCGAAGGCGGCUUUCUGGUCUGUAACUGACGCUGAGGCGCGAAAGCGUGGGGAGCAAACAGG
rnacentral:rRNA from 1 species